GGGUUAGUAGGUUGGUCAUGCCUUCGGUAUGUACUGGCUUUACUGAUUCCUCCUUCUUGACGAACCGUGAUGUCAUUAAUUUGGUGUUGCGGGAAAUCAGGACUGUUACUUUGAAAAAAUUAGAGUGUUUAAAGCAGGCUAACGCUUGAAUACAUUAGCAUGGAAUAAUGAAAUAGGACGUUAAUCCUAUUUUGUUGGUUUCUAGGAUCGACGUA
rnacentral:rRNA from 1 species